AUGAACGCUGGCGGCGUGCCUAAUACCUGCCAGUCGCGCGAACAGACGAGGAGCUUGCUCCUCUGACGUUAGCGGCGGACGGGUGAGUAACACGUGGAUAACCUACCUAUAAGACUGGGAUAACUUCGGGAAACCGGAGCUAAUACUGGAUAAUAUAUUGAACCGCAUGGUUCAAUAGUGAAAGACGGUUUUGCUGUCACUUAUAGAUGGAUCCGCGCCGCAUUAGCUAGUUGGUAAGGUAACGGCUUACCAAGGCAACGAUGCGUAGCCGGCCUGAGAGGGUGAUCGGCCACACUGGAACUGAGACACGGUCCAGACUCCUACGGGAGGCAGCAGUAGGGAAUCUUCCGCAAUGGGCGAAAGCCUGACGGAGCAACGCCGCGUGAGUGAUGAAGGUCUUCGGAUCGUAAAACUCUGUUAUUAGGGAAGAACAAAUGUGUAAGUAACUAUGCACGUCUUGACGGUACCUAAUCAGAAAGCCACGGCUAACUACGUG
rnacentral:rRNA from 1 species